rnacentral:lncRNA from 1 species
AGAACGUCAACAAACCAAACGCUUCCACCUCCAUUCAAACGCAGCCGCUUUUUUCCACCGCAACCAAUACCACUUUGCUGCUUCUAGGUUCUUCGAGGAUCAUUUUAGCCUUGAAGCUGCUCGCAUCAAUGACGCAAGAUUAGGGUUGUUGCGUAGGUAUAACUCAUCAAAAAGUUUUUAUGAUCAUGACCGUAGAUCUUACCAGACUAGACCGACGUACGGUGGUGGUGGUGGUGGUGAUGGUAAGAGCAGGCAUGAUUUAUUUUGCGAGUCCAAAACGAAUGUAACGGACCACGUGAGUUUGGA